ensembl:lncRNA
CAUGAAUUAAGGGAGCAUUGGUUAUAUAUUUAAUGACUAUGAUCUAUUACAUAUGUCCAGCUUAAUAAAAUGCUCAUUUAAUCUCUGUGUAUUCACUUUCCAUAUUCAACUCCUCCUCAGAUUCUGUAUCAUGUCAUGGAGAGAAUCUAGAGUACUUGAAGACGGUGCUGGCAAGAAAAGAGCUAGGGAGAAAUGGCAACUUCAGAAGUGGUCAAAGAAAAUCAUAUUCCCCUUAUUCAGAAGAACAAGAGGAUGUUUAACCUGGAAGAGACAUAAUAAUCAAUCAAACAACAAGCAUGUUUAUCAUGUUGUGAAAGGAGAUAGAUAUUACAUACACUGGGGAAAAAUUCAUGGAGGAAAUCAAGUGAAGAAUGGUAUGGUUCAAUCUGCCUUUUUCAUCAUGGACCCUGUGGGGUUGUCUUAGAUCCUUGCAUUGCUGAUAAUAGUAAAGUCAUUCACAGUUGAUUAUCAUAUGUUAUUGCUAUUACUCUGUACAAUAUUCCCCUGGUUCUACUCACUUCCCUCUGCAUCAUUUCAUAUGUAUUUUUUGUGAUAAUCUUGCUCAUCAUUUCUUUUUUUUAUUCAUCAUUUAUUAUGGCACAGUAGUAUCCCAUUACAAUCAUAUACCACAACUUGUUCAGUCAUUUCCCAACUGAUGAAUAAUUCUUCAGUUUCCAAUUCUUUGAUGCCACAAAAAAGCUGCUAAAAUAUUUUUGUAUAUAAGGUCCUUUCCUCCUAUAUUUGAUCUCUUUUGGGAUAUAGACAGCAGUGAUAUUGCUGGGUCAAAGGAUUAUGCAUAAUUUUAUGGCCCUUUGGACAUGGUUCCCAAUUGCAGGGUUUACAGCUUCACCAACAGCUUAUUAGUGUCCCAGUUUUUCCACAUCCCCUCCGUUUAUUUUCCUUUUUCAUCAUAUUGGCUGGUUUGAUAGGUAGGACCUCAGCAUUAUUUUAAUUUGCAUUUCUUUAAUUAAUAGUGAUUUGGACCAUUUUUUAAUAUGACAAAAGGUAGUUUUAAUUUCAUCACUUAUUCAUAUCCUUUGAUCAGUUGUCAAUUGGGGAAUACUUUGAGUCAUACUACUCUUGCUAAGACUGGUGGACAUUUUUCUUAACUGAGUCUCACAUUUCUCCUUUUUGUAUUUUGGUUCUGACAAUCAAUGGCAGACUCUUCUGGGAAUAUGGAGGUGGGACACAUGGCUCAGUUUGUGAUCAGGAACCAUCAGGGGUUCUCCAGAGUCACCAAGAUAAAGGUAAAAUUUCCCAGCUUGGCAGACAAAGUUCUCAGCAAUUUUGUCCCAAACAACCUUUUAAAAUUUAUCUCACACUUUCCCUGAAAAUGUAUCCCUUCCCUUCCCUUUUCUACUCUAGUGAAGCCAAUUUUCUUGAUGACCUCUGAAUACUACAAGUUAAUUUCUGCCUUUCACAGUUAUAGAAUCUCAGCAUUAGAAAGGACUUCAGGCCAUGGAAUAUAAUUUGUACCUGAGCAGGAAGUCAUUCUUUAGUAUACCUGAUAAGUGGUCUCACCUAGCCUUGGCUUGAAAGCAAUUAAUGAGGGGAAACCCCAUUACCUUGUUAGGCAAAUAAGUCUACUUUUGAAGAAAUAAAUGUGAGGAAAUUUCCCA